rnacentral:rRNA from 1 species
ACGUACUCCUGCGGGAGGCAGCAGUGGGGAAUUUUGGACAAUGGGCGAAAGCCUGAUCCAGCAAUGCCGCGUGAGUGAAGAAGGCCUUCGGGUUGUAAAGCUCUUUUGUCAGGGAAGAAACGGUGAAAGCUAAUAUCUUUUGCUAAUGACGGUACCUGAAGAAUAAGCACCGGCUAACUACGUGCCAGCAGCCGCGGUAAUACGUAGGGUGCAAGCGUUAAUCGGAAUUACUGGGCGUAAAGCGUGCGCAGGCGGUUUUGUAAGUCUGAUGUGAAAUCCCCGGGCUCAACCUGGGAAUUGCAUUGGAGACUGCAAGGCUAGAAUCUGGCAGAGGGGGGUAGAAUUCCACGUGUAGCAGUGAAAUGCGUAGAUAUGUGGAGGAACACCGAUGGCGAAGGCAGCCCCCUGGGUCAAGAUUGACGCUCAUGCACGAAAGCGUGGGGAGCAAACAGGAUUAGAUACCCUUGUAGUCCCA